AGAGUUUUUAACUCUAGUGGCGGACGGGUGAGUAACACGUGAGAAUUUGCCUUUAGGAGGGGGAUAACAAUUGGAAACGAAUGCUAAUACCCCAUAUGCUUCCGAGUGAAAUGGAUUUAUAUUUAUCCGCCUAGAGAGAAGCUCGCGGCUGAUUAGCUUGUUGGUAAGGUAAGAGCUUACCAAGGCGACGAUCAGUAUCUGGUUUGAGAGGACGAUCAGCCACACUGGAACUGAGACACGGUCCAGACUCCUACGGGAGGCAGCAGUAGGGAAUAUUGCACAAUGGGCGAAAGCCUGAUGCAGCAACGCCGCGUGAACGAUGAAGUUUUUAGGAAUGUAAAGUUCUGUCGUAUGGGAAGAAAUCUUUCGAAUGUUAAUACCAUUCGUUAAUGACGGUACCAUACAAGAAAGCACCGGCUAACUUCGUGCCAGCAGCCGCGGUAAUACGAGGGGUGCUAGCGUUGUCCGGAAUCAUUGGGCGUAAAGGGUCCGUAGGCGGUUUAACAAGUCAAUUGUUAAAGACAUCGGCUUAACCGAUGGAAUGCAGUUGAAACUGUUAGAAUAGAGUUUAAGAGAGGAAAGUGGAAUUUCUGGUGUAGCGGUGACAUGCGUAGAUAUCAGAAGGAACACCAAUGGCGAAGGCAACUUUCUGGCCUAAAACUGACGCUGAGGGACGAAAGCGUGGGGAGCGAACAGGAUUAGAUACCCUGGUAGUCCACGCCGUAAACGAUGAUUACUCGGUAUUGGCUUCGGUCAGUGCCCAAGCGAAAGUGAUAAGUAAUCCACCUGGGGAGUACG
rnacentral:rRNA from 1 species